UCUGGAAUCGAGAAGAGAACAAGGAACAUCAUGUCCAAACUUCUAAUAGUCAUCGCAUCUGCUCUACUUGCUGUCAUUAGAUCAGUAACUGCCUUGCACCCGCCAUUUGUUCCUCACACAACUUCGGUUUUAACUUGUGACCUCGGUUCAAAUUAUAACUGACAAAUUGUAGAGACCACUGGACGUAGACCUUCGACAUUGUGGACCAUAGGUGGGAUUCUCGGUAAUAUUUCUAUGAAGCUCCGUGCCUUAAUUCGAAUAUCCAAUGAAGGUGAAGAAUUUUCGUAUUAUUUAUAGAUAGCGUUUGGCAACGAAAGCGGAAAUGGCUGUAAGAUUUGUUACAUCACCUAUUUGUAAUGUCAUGCUUUGUAUUAAAAUAAGCUAUA